rnacentral:rRNA from 1 species
UACGGCAGGGGCUAGCGUUGUUAGGAAUUACUGGGCGUAAUGAGCGCGUAGGCGGCUUACCUAGUUGGGGGUGAAAUACCGGAGCUCAACUCCGGAACUGCCUUCAAAACUGGUAGGCUCGAGUCCGGAAGAGGGGCGUGGAAUUCCCAGUGUAGAGGUGAAAUUCGUAGAUAUUGGGAAGAACACCGGUGGCGAAGGCGGCGCCCUGGUCCGGUACUGACGCUGAGGAGCGAAAGCGUGGGGAGCAAACAGG